rfam:Glycine soja cultivar W05 scaffold528_32, whole genome shotgun sequence.
UGGGCAGGGAUUGUGUGUAUCGGUGUUGUGCUGCGACUGUUGCAUGAUUCCGAAAGAGUUCCCUGCAAAAUAAAUUUGGGGAAGAUGGGCAGUUGUGUUUCACUUUAAUUGAAAAUAACAACAAUCAUCUCCCCUACAUUU